AUGUCCUCCUCCGCCGGCGACGGCCUCGCGCCCCCGUCGUCGGCGUCCAAGGGCAAGGCAAGGAUGGACGACGACGCCGAGGCAGAGGCCGUGGCCUUGGCGCCCGAGGGCGUGCCCUGCGGCAUCUGCUUCACGGACUCGUGCCGGGCGAUCCGGGGCGAGCUCGACUGCUGCGCCCACCACUUCUGCUUCGUCUGCAUCAUGGCCUGGGCGCGCGUCGAGUCGCGCUGCCCCUUCUGCAAGGCGCGCUUCCACACGAUCCGCCGCCCGCCCGUCCCCGGCCGCCUCCCCUCCGAGCGCAUCGUCAACGUCGCCGAGCGCAACCAGGUAUACCAUCCUCGAGGCAAUGUGAGUAGCGUGGUGAGCACUGAUCCUUACGUGAACAGCGGCUGCAGCGUGUGUAACUGCUCCAGUGAUGAGGACCUGCUGCUCCUCUGCGAGCUGUGUGAUGCGGCUUCACACACGUACUGCGUGGGGCUAGGGACCACUGUGCCAGAGGGAGACUGGUUCUGCAAGGACUGUGAAACAUCCAAGGAGGAGCACUCGAGGUGUCAGAUCGAGGAUGGUGGGUCUAGUGAUCAGGGUGAAAUUGAAAUCACCAUUGAAGUUCCAACUGCUGAGGCAGUUACAGAACCUUUCGCUUCUGAUAUUGUGGAGGAGGGUUCCUCUCUGAGUUCAGUGCGCCGCACAAAUACGAGGAGCAGUGGGACUACCAUUGAAGUUCCAACUGCUGAGCCGGUUACAGAACCUUCCGUUUCGGAUAUUGUGGAUGAGGGUUACUCUUUGAGUUCACUGCGCCGCACAAAUAUGAGGAGCAGUGGGACUACCAUUGAAGUUCCAACUGUUCAGCCAGUUACAGAACCUUCCGUUUCGGAUAUUGUGGAUGGGAGGUACUCUUUGAGUUCACUGCGCCGCACAAAUACGAGGAGCAGUGGGCCUAUCCCAGUUCCGUCUAUUUAUGAUAAUGUGGAUGAAGAUUACGGGACAAUUCCAGUGCACGGGACAAAUGCACAAAGCAGUGGGUCUUUCCCAGUUCCUUCUGUUUAUGACAUUGUGGAUGAGGAUUACGAAAUAAAUCCAGUGCGUAGGACUAAUACGCGGAGCACUAGACCUGAUAGAAAUGCCAAUGGUUUGCCAUCACAGGGUACUUCUUCUGAUGGAUCUUCUUCUCAUGAAUCUCCUCAAGGGCGAGGCACUGGUCGUGCAGUGUUGCAUGCCCAUGCUCGCUUUGGAACUGAGAGAGCUAGAACAUUUCGUAAUUCUCGCAAUCUUAGUAACCGUAUAAUGCUGCUGCGUGAGAACUGGCCUGCUCUCCGUGCAGGUUCUGCAGGAUUUGCCACACAUUUACACAACAAUAGUGGUAGUUCUUCUGUUAAAGAGCAUCAGCAGUCUGUGGCACCUCCGCCUAAGGAGACCCGUCAUGUCAAUAAGGCAUGGAAAAUGUUGGAAAUUGCAAAGUCUGCUGGUGGAAGGAAGAAAUGUGACGGGCCUUCCUCCCUAGACUGCACUCCUCGAUUCUCUAUGGGAAACAGGUCAACUUCAUUCAGCCCGAUUGAUACAAUCUUAGGACAGAAGAAGCAGAGACUUUCUCCUACCGUGACACAGAGAGACACUAUGAACUUUGAACGUGGUGCAAAAAAUGAUAAUAUACUGCCCCGGAAGGAUGUUGUAGGGCACUGCGACUUGCCUGGGAAUCGCCAUGUAUUAGUUCGUGAAAGGAUGGGUUCAUUCCAGAGCAGAAUGACAAAUCAGGAAAGUCCAAAUGGUAAAGUUGCCCCGUCAAGCCAUAGUCAACAUGUUGAUCAGAGACCAGAAUCUUCGUGUGGCGGUAAAGUUGCCUCAUCAAGCCACAUACAACAUGUCGAUCAAACAUUGGAAUCUGUGCGUGGCCCGCUUGGAUCAGGGAAACCUAAAACGGAUGCGCUGCAUCCAUCUGCAAACAGUCUAUCAUCCGGUCGUCCCACGGUGAUCUCUCCGCUACAAAUCGUGUUGAGCGCUGGGAGCCAAUCUGGUGCAAAGGUAAACCCUGAGGAACCUUCAGGCGUUCGUGCUGCAGCAUCCAAUGAAAUUGGUACCGUGGCAGCAACAGUUGAAGUUAGAAAAAGUUCUGGACCAGACCGUGGUGAGUCCAAGAGAAAACAUCGUUCUGGAACGCGUGAUGAUCAAGGAUCCAAAAAACUGAGGGUAAACCCUGAGGAACCUUCAGCCGUUUGUGCCACAACAUCCAAUGAAAUUGGUACCGUGGCAGCAACAGUUGAAGUUAGAAAAAGUUCUGGGCCAGACCGUGAUGGAUCCAAGAGAAAACAUCGUUCUGGAACACGUGAUGAUCAAGGAUCCAAGAAACCCAGGAAGAGCGGUAAACUUGCAAAAAGUGAAAUAUCAUGCUUGGCCAUGCUUGAGUUGAAGCUACUCAAGACAGACAAAACCUACGGUUCCGACAGAUUCAAGGAGGUUGCUCGAGCAGCAACACACACCGUGUUGGCUUCCUACGGACUGGAGCAUACUCCAUCAGUAGCCCUGGCGCUCCCCAAACCGGUUUGCAAGCACAGCUGCAGAACCGGAGCUUCCAAACCGUCAGCGAUAGCCAACACCUGCAAGGAAUGCUUGCAUGGUUUCGUGAAGCAAGCCAUCAGUUCGGUGUUGGCCAGCAAGCAGAUGGAUCAAACUGCUGCCUCUCGCUAG
rnacentral:rRNA from 1 species